rnacentral:rRNA from 1 species
UACGGAAGGCAGCAGUGGGGAAUAUUGCACAAUGGGCGGAAGCCUGAUGCAGCGACGCCGCGUGAGGGAUGACGGCCUUCGGGUUGUAAACCUCUUUCAGUAGGGAAGAAGCGAGAGUGACGGUACCUGCAGAAGAAGCGCCGGCUAACUACGUGCCAGCAGCCGCGGUAAUACGUAGGGCGCAAGCGUUGUCCGGAAUUAUUGGGCGUAAAGAGCUCGUAGGCGGUUUUGUCGCGUCUGCUGUGAAAGCCCGGGGCUCAACCCCGGGUCUGCAGUGGGUACGGGCAGACUAGAGUGCAGUAGGGGAGACUGGAAUUCCUGGUGUAGCGGUGAAAUGCGCAGAUAUCAGGAGGAACACCGAUGGCGAAAGGCAGGUCUCUGGGCUGUUACUGACGCUGAGGAGCGAAAGCAUGGGGAGCGAACAGGGAUUAGAUACC